AAAGUUACUCGUACAUUAUUAUUUUAGUGCAAGCGAAAUGAUGGAUGUAAUAAACAUUUUCAAAAAAAUACUUUAUAAGUUUUAGAUUCUGAGCUUGUGAACCGAGGAAUACAUAUUGGUUUUAGAAUGAUGUUUAUUAUUUUUAUUUUUUUAUUUUUUUUUGGACGACUUUUCUAUCAGUAAUUUUGCUCCGAUUUAAAAUUAUAGCACUUUUUGUGAAAGGAAAUAUGACUGGAGAGGUACCUUAAGGAGGUCCUUUUUGAUUUCCGCGAGAGUUUUUCCAAUAAAUGA